UACAGGGGGUGCGAGCGUUAUUCGGAAUUACUGGGCGUAAAGAGCGCGUAGGUGGUUUAGCAAGUCUGGUGUGAAAUCCCUGGUCUCAAGCCAGGAAGUGCAUUGGAUACUGCUAGGCUAGAGUAUAGGAGAGGAUGGCGGAAUUCCUGGUGUAGAGGUGAAAUUCGUAGAUAUCAGGAGGAACCACAGUGGCGAAGGCGGCCAUCUGGACUAUUACUGACACUGAGGCGCGAAAGCGUGGGGAGCAAACAGG
rnacentral:rRNA from 1 species